CAGUAUUCAUUGGCAAGUCUAAUUGUGGCUUGGUUCCUGCUUCUUGGCAAUCCUUUGGCCUUUGUGUUUCAGCAGGGUGUAGAAUAUGGAAAGGGCAGUUGCUGACCUUUCUGCUUCACCCGAUGGUCGCAUCAUAAAUGAAGAUGUUUCAGCGACUUUCCAAAUGGCAGGAGCCAUUGCCUUGCCUCUGCUGACAGUCCCGAGAUGACCAGCCCGCUGGAAAAGCUUCUCUUGCCGAACAGCAAGCUAAGUGUGGAACUCGUUGACGAGGCCUGGCUCAACCGAUGGACUGCAUUAGGAGGGCCUUGAGAGGUCAGCUGACCUGCAGUAGCAAAUCGAGGAACCUGAGAAAACACGGAGGCAACUGAUGUGCUGAAGGACAACUGACUGUUGGAAAGUCUUUGCACGACUGCAUGAGCCGAAUUGGACAUCUGCUGGCUCUCCAGUAUUGGGCCGGAUUGGCUUGUAACAGGUGGUCUUUGGUUCUGGGCUCUGGAGUGAUGAGGCUGGACAGAGCGACUCCUGUAUUCUCUUCUGGCUACAUAGUAAGAGAGGAAUUUGUGAGUUAAAAUUGAAUUUUUCAUGGUAUGCUAAAUCUGAAAUCUGACUGUUGUUCAUAUAUUAUACAUUUAUCUGUAUAUUUAUAUUUAUUUGACCCUUUUUUUUCAAAGUGUCUUACAAAUUAGAACUUGUGAUGGACGGCCGGCAUUUCAGACUGGCCGGAACGUCCCUCAACAGAAGAAAGCAGCCUUUUCAGGGCACUACAUCCCCCAGGACACUAGA